AGAUGUUGGAGGCAAAAUGGAAUGGAGCUAAAUAAUUUUGUACCUUGAAAUUCUAAAAUGCUUUUAGGGAGAUAUCAGAUACAAGAGUGUACAUAUUUAGUUAUUAGAAGCAUUGUCUUCAACAUGUAUGAAUGAAAUGAUGUAAUCAGAGUUAAUUGAUGGCUUUAGUGACUAUAUAUGCUGUAGGAUGAAAUGAGAUCACAGACAGAGACCCCAUCAAACACUUAACUAAAUGGCUGGAAUGAGGUUCCUGACCCUGGUGAUGGUUUUAGCAAAGCUAAGAGACAUUCUGGUGCCACCUAUAUUGAGCCAACAUAACUCCUAAAAUGAUUUUGUUGUAUUCAUAACUUUCUAUUAAAUAAUUUUUAUAUUUAA
rnacentral:lncRNA from 1 species